UUAACUUAUUAUAAUCUUACUCAGACAACACAAAAAUCAGGAGUUUAGGGUUCUCUGGCAGGCGCGGACCAGCCUAAGCCGAUGGUCAAGAGACGGGCCUGCCAAAGCAACAAAGGUAAUAUAAACAAAGGGUAGGAGAUUUACCCCGAAGGGCAUUUUCUCUGUAAUGAUCCUUCCGCAGGUUCACCUACGGAAA
rnacentral:misc_RNA from 1 species